rnacentral:rRNA from 1 species
GACGAACGCUGGCGGCGUGCUUAACACAUGCAAGUCGAACGGAAAGGCCCUGCUUUUGUGGGGUGCUCGAGUGGCGAACGGGUGAGUAACACGUGUGUAACCUGCCCUUGACUUUGGGAUAACUUCAGGAAACUGGGGCUAAUACCGGAUAGGAGCUCCUGCUGCAUGGUGGGGGUUGGAAAGUUUCGGCGGUUGGGGAUGGACUCGCGGCUUACCAGCUUGUUGGUGGGGUAGUGGCUUACCAAGGCUUUGACGGGUAGCCGGCCUGGGAGGGUGACCGGCCACAAUGGGACUGAGAGACGGACCAGAAUCCUACGGGAGGCAGCAGUGGGGAAUAUGGCACAAUGGGCGGAAGCCUGAUGCAGCAACGCCGCGUGCGGGAUGACGGCCUUCGGGUUGUAAACCGCUUUCGCCUGUGACGAAGCGUGAGUGACGGUAAUGGGUAAAGAAGCACCGGCUAACUACGUG